CAUUUUAAAACUUUAAUUAGUCAAAAGGCCACCUAAUCUCUCUCUCUCUCUCUCUCAUUGGCGAUUCAGGAGCAUCCCUUGGUGACUCGCCGGAGCCGGAGUCGGAGCCUUAGCUCGAUCUCUCAUGUUAUCCUCCGAUGGCGGCAGUGAGGCUCCGUCUACUCCCCAUGGUGGUCCGACGAGACUCCAACCAUGUUUGAGCUCCGACUCAACCAAGGGGCUGCUCUUCUCCUGAAGGCCGUGGCGCCACUCAUUGACCUGGCCGACUUUGCCAAUGUCUCACCGGAUAAGGUAUUCUUGCUGAUUGCCGGCAACUCCAUGAUCUCCGAGGGGGACUUCGUUAUGCUAUGGAUUCCGGAGUUGACCUUCGCUUGCGUCAUUUGCAACGUUCACGGAUCCUUCGUUCUCAACCUAGGCCGCUUGUACUCCAAUCUGAAUCGCGCCGGCGACGACGGCGAGGAUUUGAUCAGCUUCGUGACUGUGAAUUCCGGGUUUAAAGGUUUCGGGUGCUAUUUGUUUUGAUAGUUCACGGUAGUUUCAAUUGGUUCUUGGAUGUGGAAAUCAGUACAAUGCUUUGUUGGGCGUGAGGCAGUAUUGAGACAACACAAUGCUUAAAUGGAUGGUUUAAUGCUAAAAAUGUAGCUGAAUAACAAGGAUUCAUACAAUAUGUUAGUGCAAGAUUUUGAGAAUUCUUUCCCUUUGCAUUUGUAGUAGUAGAUUUUGAAAAUCAUGUGGAUUUGGAUAUUGAAGCCUCCAUUGGCCAAGAUAUCAUUCGGCCUACCAAGAAAUGUUAAAAUGAAGUCUCGUGCUGAAGGUGACAAAAUUAUGUCUAUGGGUUUAGAGCGUCACCAUUGAAAAAUGACAGUAGCAUUACAAUUGACAAUAGCUUUAUACAACUAUUGUAAUAUAUUUUCACAACUAUGGUAGUGGCUUUUUACAUAGUUAUAUCAUUGUUGAACGUUGCAUACUUUUAGUAUCAUUGAAUAUUUUUU